rnacentral:ncRNA from 1 species
UGAAGGUUUGGUCCUGGCCUUAGUAUUAAUUGUAACCAGAAUUAUACAUGCAAGUUUCAGCAUCCCUGUGAAAAUGCCCUAACUACUCUGUCAAUUAGUUAGGAGCGGGUAUCAGGCACACAUACAUGUGGCCCAAGACACCUUGCUAAGCCACACCCCCAAGGGAUUUCAGCAGUAAUAAAUAUUGAUUAUAUGAGCGCAAGCUCGAAUCAGUUAAAGUUAACAGAGUUGGUCAAUCUCGUGCCAGCCACCGCGGUUAUACGAGUAACUCACAUUAAUACUCCCCGGCGUAAAGAGUGAUUUAAGGAACAUCUAACAACAACUAAAGUUCAGACCUUAUCAAGCUGUCACACGCACCCACAAGCGGAAUUAUCAACAACGAAAGUGACUUUACCCCACUAGAAAUCUUGAUGUCACGACAGUUAGACCCCAAACUAGGAUUAGAUACCCUACUAUGUCUAACCACAAACUUAAACAAUAGUUCACUAUAUUGUUCGCCAGAGUACUACAAGCGCUAGCUUAAAACCCAAAGGACUUGGCGGUGUCCCAAACCCACCUAGAGGAGCCUGUUCUGUAACCGAUAAUCCCCGUUAAACCUCACCACUUCUAGCCAUUCCCGUCUAUAUACCGCCGUCGUCAGCUCACCCUGUGAAGGCUUAAAAGUAAGCAAAAAGAACCAACUUCCACACGUCAGGUCGAGGUGUAGCGAAUGAAGUGGAUAGAAAUGGGCUACAUUUUCUAUAAAGAAAACACGAAUGGUAAACUGAAAAAUUACCUAAAGGUGGAUUUAGCAGUAAGAAAAGACUAGAGAGCUUCUCUGAAACCGGCUCUGGGACGCGCACACACCGCCCGUCACUCUCCUCGAAAAAAAUCUACUUAUUUUUAAUUAAAGAAAAAUGCCAAGAGGAGGCAAGUCGUAACAUGGUAAGUGUACUGGAAAGUGCACUUGGAAU